rnacentral:pre_miRNA from 1 species
UGACUACAGCCACUACUACCAGACCAUUGAUGAUCUUCACGACAAGAUUCUUGGGCCACCAUUGAGAACUCCAAGAUUGUCCUGCAGAUUAACAAUGCCGUCUGGCUGUGGAUG